UCUGUACUCUGUAAUCAAAAAUGUCUGGCUGAUAGUCAUUUUCACCAUAAGGAAGAAAAAUGGAAAGGGACAAGUUAUUCAUUUCAUCAACAGUACUGGAAAAAUAAGGUAACACAGUUGGCCAAAAAAGAUGAAAUGCAAAGUCUGCUGGAAACAGAGAGUUUCUUGCUGAUAAAAAAAGAGAUCUAAGGGAAAAGCUAUCUCUAUUUAUCUAAGGAUUUUGCUUCAGAAACUUGCUGGCUAGCCAUAAUACAGUCAUCACUGUAAUGCAGAAUGGCUCUUGCUCAAAGGCUUCCUCCUGAAACGUAUACACUGAACAGUCGGUCACAGGCUUAUAGGAUGACAAGAUGAGGAGUGACAGACAAUCAUGGAGUUCAACCCUGUCAUCGUAGAGGUGAGAAAACCGAAGCUCAGAGAGUUCAGAUAACCUACAAAGGUCACAGUAAUACGAAAUCUGAUGACCAAGCCCCAAAAAAGAAAAAAAUGUACCUGGUACAGCCAAUCCAUUCAAAGUCUGCUCAAGCUGGAAUCAUGGCCUCAGGCAAAAUCCUCAGUCCUUUCAGUUCAUCAGGAUUCAAACCUCUAUGAAAUAAAAUUUGAUGCCUUUAGUAGUUAAUUUUUCAGUUAAGAAGUCACUGCAUCCCUGCUAAUAGGCACCCAUUUGUGUCUUUCUUUAAAUACAAUCAAGGCUGGAUACCACAUUUCAUUACUCUUCAGCAGAGGAAGUACGGCUCGAGCCCUGGAGGAAGAAAGGUCUCCUCCUCACUAGGGGAGCUUGCUCUUCGUAUUUUCUCCACAUGGAGGGCACUGCCCUAAUGUGACUCUGCCCUCUCUUCUCCCCUUCACGCCUUCCUUUCAAAGAAAGGGAUAACUCAAUGCUAUUAGUCCUGAAGGGAAAAUUUGGAAAGCACAGUCCAGCCCUACUCCUCCCACCUUCUCUUCAAGAAAUGAC